rnacentral:tRNA from 1 species
UGGCUCAGAGGUUAAAGCGUCUGCCUUCAAUGCGGGAGACCGGGGUUCGAUCCCUG